UGUCUGUCUGUCUGUCUCUGUCUACUUUUAGAGCGAGACUGUGUGGUGCUAAUGUUUUUAUAAAAUGCUAAUAUUUAAUUAAGUUUUCAUCCAAUUAAAAAUUUAAGCCUGUCUAAAUGAGACACAAUGAGGACAAUGAAAAAUAAAUUUAAUCGUUACAAAUAUUCAUUCCUAACAUGAGGACUUUUAUUUUGGUGCCGGUGCUUUUAAUUACAAACCGGAAACCUACAUAGACCUUCCGCUGUUUCCCAAACUGAGCUAGCACUGAACAGUGACCUUCUCCGAGUGGUUCAGUGCACUUACAUACUAGAGAUGGCAGGUGGUGCAUUCGCUGGCUGGUGGACUAAGGUGGCCCCCUACUACACCAAAGCAUACCAGGAGAUGUGGGUUGGUGUAGGAAUCAUGACUUUUAUGUACUACAAACUGUCAUUUGGAGG